rnacentral:rRNA from 1 species
CUACGGGUCGCAGCAGUGGGGAAUAUUGCACAAUGGGCGCAAGCCUGAUGCAGCCAUGCCGCGUGUAUGAAGAAGGCCUUCGGGUUGUAAAGUACUUUCAGCGGGGAGGAAGGGAGUAAAGUUAAUACCUUUGCUCAUUGACGUUACCCGCAGAAGAAGCACCGGCUAACUCCGUGCCAGCAGCCGCGGUAAUACGGAGGGUGCAAGCGUUAAUCGGAAUUACUGGGCGUAAAGCGCACGCAGGCGGUUUGUUAAGUCAGAUGUGAAAUCCCCGGGCUCAACCUGGGAACGGCAUCUGAUACUGGCAAGCUUGAGUCUCGUAGAGGGGGGUAGAAUUCCAGGUGUAGCGGUGAAAUGCGUAGAGAUCUGGAGGAAUACCGGUGGCGAAGGCGGCCCCCUGGACGAAGACUGACGCUCAGGUGCGAAAGCGUGGGGAGCAAACAGGAUUAGAUACCCUUGUAGUC